GAGGCUGUGGCUCAGUGGUGAGGUGCUUGCCUUGCAUGCAUGAGGCCCUGGGUUCAAUCCUCAGCACCACG
rnacentral:tRNA from 1 species